GACAGAGUGAGGGAGGUUGUGAUUAGUGACAGAGGGAGGGAUGGGGUGACUAGUGACAGUCACCACCUCCUUCACUCUGUCACUAGUCACCCCCUCCCUCACUCUGUCAUUGUGUCACCCCCUCUCUCACUCUGUCACUAGUCAUCCCCUUCCUUACUGUC